CUAGGCAUGAAUAGAUUGUGCUAGUAAAUUCAGGAAAAGUUGCUUCACAAUAUACCCAAAAGUUGCUCUAAAAUUGUCAAGGAAAUUUAAUG